rnacentral:rRNA from 1 species
UUAUUUUUUUAAGCGUUCGUCUUAGCGGCAAGCGCGUUAGAUCAGUCGUAGACCGGACCUAGUGCCGAUCGCGACUUCUGACGACUGUUGGCCGCCAAGUUCUCGAACAGAGUCUCAAGUUAAACCGAUCGGCGACGCUAUAGCUUUGGGUACUUUCAGGACCCGUCUUGAAACACGGACCAAGGAGUCUAGCAUGUGCGCGAGUCAUUGGGAUUUAUUCGAAACCUAAAGGCGCAAUGAAAGUAAAGGUUUUCCUCGCGAAGACCGAGGGAAGACGAACGAGAUUUUUACGUCUCGUUCCGCACUCCCGGGGCGUCUCGUUCUCAUCGCGAGAAGAGGCGCACCAAGAGCGUACACGCUGGGACCCGAAAGAUGGUGAACUAUGCCUGGUCAGGACGAAGUCAGGGGAAACCCUGAUGGAGGUCCGUAGCGAUUCUGACGUGCAAAUCGAUCGUCGGAACUGGGUAUAGGGCGA